UUUCCGGUUGAUCCUGCCGGAGGCCACUGCUAUCGGAGUUCGACUAAGCCAUGCGAGUUAAGGGGGGCUUUGCCCACCGGCGAACGGCUCAGUAACACGUGGACAACCUACCCUUAGGAGGGGGAUAAUCCUGGGAAACUGGGACUAAACCCCCAUAGGCUAUGGAUGCUGGAAAGCACUGUGGCUGAAAUUCCGAAAGGAGCCUAAGGAUGGGUCUGCGGCCUAUCAGGUUGUAGUGGAGGUAAUGGCUCCACUAGCCUACGACGGGUACGGGCCCUGAGAGGGGGAGCCUGGAGAUGGACUCUGAGACACGAGUCCAGGCCCUACGGGGCGCAGCAGGCGCGAAAACUCCGCAAUGCUCGAAAGAGCGACGGGGGAACUCCGAGUGCCUGCGCUUUGCGUAGGCUUUUCUCAAGCCUAAAAAGCUUGGGGAAUAAGGGCUGGGUAAGACGGGUGCCAUCUGUGAUGGCAACAAUUUAACUUGCCGUUGCAAGGCAUAAGCCGCCGCGGUAAUACCCGCAGCUCGAGUGGUGGCCGUUAUUAUUGGGCCUAAAGCGUCCGUAGCCGGUCUGGUAAAUGCUUGGAUAAAUCGUCUGGCUCAACCAGGCGGCUGCCAGGUAGACUGCCAGACUCGGGACCGGAGGAGGGAGAGGGUACUCCAGGGGUAGGGGUGAAAUCAGCAAGGCGUCGUUGAUGUAACUUGCCUUGCAAGUCACAAUCCUGUAAUCCCUGGAGGACCACCGGUGGCGAAAGCGCUCUCCUAGGACGGGUCCGACGGUGAGGGACGAAAGCCAGGGGAGCGAACCGGAUUAGAUACCCGGGUAGUCCUGGCCGUAAACGAUGUGGACUUGGUAUUGGGGUGGCUACGGGCUGCUCCAGUGCCGUAGGGAAGCCGUUGAGUCCACCGCCUGGGGAGUAUGGUCGCAAGGCUGAAACUUAAAGGAAUUGGCGGGGG
rnacentral:rRNA from 1 species